AUGGAAAGGAUGGUUAUUUCCCCAGAUGAUCGACGUUGAUUAUACUGUGCGAAUUUUUUUCUCUUUUGAGAAUCUAAGCCAUUCUUUUGAUCCAU